GAGACUCUGUGCGCGUGCAUAUCAAUAAGCGGAGGAAAAGAAACUAACUAGGAUUCCCUCAGUAACGGCGAGUGAAGCGGGAAGAGCUCAAAUUUGAAAUCUUAAAGGUUUCCCUUGACGAAUUGUAGUUUAAUAGAAGUGUUUUCUGUUAGUAGAGUGGCAAAAGUUCUUUGGAAUAGGACAUCAUAGAGGGUGAGAAUCCCGUAUUUGGUCAUUCUUUCUAGCUUUGUGAUACACUUUCAACGAGUCGGAUUGUUUGGGAAUGCAGUCCAAAAUGGGUAGUAAAUUUCAUCUAAAGCUAAAUAUUGGCGAGAGACCGAUAGCGAACAAGUACCGUGAGGGAAAGAUGAAAAGAACUUUGAAAAGAGAGUUAAACAGUACGUGAAAUUGUCAAAAGGGAAGCGUUUGACACCAGUGUUGUUUUUCCGAAAAUCAAUUACGAAUGUUUUGUUUUUGAGAAGUUAUGACUUCAUCGGCUUGCUUCUUUCUUUACGAAACUUUCUUAAUGCACUUUUCGGUUAACAAGUCAACAUCAAUUUCUUUUGUUGUAAAAGGGUAUGAGGAAGGUGGCUUUCUUUUCGGAGAAAGUGUUUAUAGCCUUGUACCUCUGCAAUCGGAGAGAUUGAGGUCUGCAGCGUAGAUCCUUCGGGGUUAGAUACAUUUGUGCUAAGUUAUAGCCUUUCAUAGACAACUUGUUGACUAUGUUUAGUCUUGUAGCUUACUCGCUUAUGCUAUUUUACCUACGCUUAGGAUGUUGAACUCUAUCACACACAG
rnacentral:rRNA from 1 species